rnacentral:rRNA from 3 species
AAAUUGAAGAGUUUGAUCAUGGCUCAGAUUGAACGCUGGCGGCAGGCCUAACACAUGCAAGUCGAACGGUAACAGGAAGCAGCUUGCUGCUUCGCUGACGAGUGGCGGACGGGUGAGUAAUGUCUGGGAAACUGCCUGAUGGAGGGGGAUAACUACUGGAAACGGUGGCUAAUACCGCAUAACGUCGCAAGACCAAAGAGGGGGACCUUCGGGCCUCUUGCCAUCAGAUGUGCCCAGAUGGGAUUAGCUGGUUGGUGAGGU